AGUGAACGCUGGCGGUAGGCCUAACACAUGCAAGUCGAACGGCAGCACAGUAAGAGCUUGCUCUUACGGGUGGCGAGUGGCGGACGGGUGAGGAAUACAUCGGAAUCUACUUUUUCGUGGAGGAUAACGUAGGGAAACUUACGCUAAUACCGCAUACGACCUACGGGUUAAAGCAGGGGAUCUUCGGACCUUGCGCGAUUGAAUGAGCCGAUGUCGGAUUAGCUAGUUGGCGGGGUAAAGGCCCACCAAGGCGACGAUCCGUAGCUGGUCUGAGAGGAUGAUCAGCCACACUGGAACUGAGACACGGUCCAGACUCCUACGGGAGGCAGCAGUGGGGAAUAUUGGACAAUGGGCGCAAGCCUGAUCCAGCAAUACCGCGUGGGUGAAGAAGGCUUUCGGGUUGUAAAGCCCUUUUGUUGGGAAAGAAAAGCAGCAGGUUAAUACCCCGCUGUUCUGACGGUACCCAAAGAAUAAGCACCGGCUAACUUCGUG
rnacentral:rRNA from 1 species